GACGAACGCUGGCGGCGUGCUUAACACAUGCAAGUCGAACGGUAAGGCCCUUCGGGGUACACGAGUGGCGAACGGGUGAGUAACACGUGGGUGAUCUGCCCUGCACUUCGGGAUAAGCCUGGGAAACUGGGUCUAAUACCGGAUAGGACUCCGGACUGCAUGGUCUGGGGUGGAAAGCUUUUGCGGUGUGGGAUGGGCCCGCGGCCUCUCAGCUUGUUGGUGGGGUGAUGGCCUACCAAGGCGACGACGGGUAGCCGGCCUGAGAGGGUGACCGGCCACACUGGGACUGAGCUACGGCCCAGACUCCUACGGGAGGCAGCAGUGGGGAAUAUUGCACAAUGGGCGCAAGCCUGAUGCAGCGACGCCGCGUGAGGGAUGACGGCCUUCGGGUUGUAAACCUCUUUCAGCAUCGACGAAGCGAAAGUGACGGUAGGUGCAGAAGAAGGACCGGCCAACUACGUGCCAGCAGCCGCGGUAA
rnacentral:rRNA from 1 species